AUUUUUCCUCUUUCCUCAUGUUUUCAUAUACUCUUCUUAUUUUUUAUUCUGCAAUACAUUAAACUUUUGAGAAUCUCUCUCUCUAUCAAUAAAUGUUACCUAUGUGGAUUCGAUGGACGAUAUAUACAGGCAUAAGCCUACCAUGGUUGUGUGGUUAUUGCAUAGGUGAGCAUGGCAAAGUGAGAGUCAUUCCAAGACAAACAGAGACAACUAUGGUUUGUAUAAAUGUGGGAUCUUUAUUAGAGAGAGAAAGAUUUUCCUACAUUAUACCACAGGAGGACAAAUACCUUUUUAUUUAAGAGGAGAAGUCGUUAUCUUUCUUUUUAGUUGAUCGACAAUGUUUGCAAGAGUCUUUAGUCCAACCUUUAAAAGUCUUUAGUCCAAGUUACUAUAAGUUUUCAAAAGUAAUCACACAGGUACUAGAAUCGGCAAUGGUAACAGGCAUGGCAACAGAAGAACAGUUGCAGAUACCAUAGAAGAACAACCACAGAUACUGCUGAAGAUACUGCGCAUGACAUGGCAACCGACACAUAUAUAUAUCCUUCUCUUUAUUUUUCUCUGGAGAAAGAUGAGUA
rnacentral:lncRNA from 1 species